CAGUACACCUGUCUAGUGAGCGAAACGUUUUCGGAUCUCGGAAUAUCAGUUUACACAAACCCUUCUUUUUCUGAAAGCAAGACAGACACCACCCAAAAAAAGAGGUAUAUACAGGUUGAUAGAAAGAACAUCCAUUCUAAACAACUCCCAGACCUCUGCCUUCUAUCCAGUCCACAUGACUGAGCCAUGCAGAAGCCGUGAACAGCGCACGAACAGCUGCGUUCUUGGUUAAAACAAGAUGUCAUCGACCAAUGAGAAUGGAGUCAGUGGGUCUAGAAAUAACAGUCGAGAGAAAACGUACAAAAAGACUACUUCAUCUGCCCUGAAAGGAGCCAUCCAGCUGGGCAUUGGUUACACCGUGGGGAACCUGACCUCAAAACCUGACCGAGAUGUGCUCAUGCAGGACUUCUAUGUGGUGGAGAGUGUUUUCUUACCAAGUGAGGGGAGCAAUCUGACUCCAGCGCACCAUUAUCCAGACUUCCGCUUCAAGACAUACGCACCUUUGGCUUUCCGUUACUUCCGGGAGCUGUUUGGAAUCAAGCCAGAUGAUUACUUGUACUCCAUUUGUAAAGAGCCCUUGAUUGAGUUGUCUAAUCCGGGCGCCAGUGGCUCACUUUUCUACCUGACCAGCGAUGAUGAAUUCAUCAUCAAAACUGUCCAGCAUAAGGAGGCAGAGUUUCUACAAAAACUGCUUCCAGGAUACUACAUGAACCUCAAUCAGAACCCAAGGACUCUCCUACCCAAGUUCUACGGGCUGUACUGUAUUCAGUCCGGAGGAAUCAACAUUCGUCUCGUGGUUAUGAACAAUGUUUUACCGCGGUCUUUAAAGAUGCACUACAAAUAUGACCUGAAAGGCUCCACGUACAAGAGGCGAGCAUCACGGAAAGAGCGGGAAAAGGCCUGCCCCACAUAUAAAGACCUAGACUUUGUGGACAUGCACGAUGGCUUGUAUUUUGACACAGAGACUUAUAACGCCUUGAUGAAGACAUUACAGCGAGACUGCCGGGUGCUGGAGAGUUUUAAGAUCAUGGAUUACAGUCUGCUGCUGGGAGUCCAUGUGUUGGACGAACGUCACAGAGGAGACGACGUCAGUGUUGUAGACGGCAGGAGAACGGUAGCACAGAGAGUUCUUUACUCCACUGCCAUGGAGUCUAUUCAGGGAGAUGGCAAAGCAGCUGAGGCCUUGACAACGGACGACACAAUGGGCGGCAUUCCUGCAAGAACACACAGGGAUGAGAAACUACUUAUUUUUCUUGGCAUAAUCGACAUUUUACAAUCUUACAGAUUCAUGAAGAAGUUAGAACACUCGUGGAAGGCACUCGUCUAUGAUGGUGAUACAGUGUCUGUGCACAGACCAGGUUUCUAUGCAAACAGAUUUCUCAAGUUCAUGAGCACCCGAGUAUUUCGGAAGAUUCAGCCAAAUCGUUUCUCCCCAAGCAAAAGGGCACGGAAUUCCAUAUCUGCGCUGAAGUUCUCCUCUCAGGAGGUGCUUUCCACACAGAAGGAGGAGAAGGGCGAUGAGAGGGUGGACAGACUUGCAGGAGCCCGUAGUCUAGCCAGUCUAGAUGGACAAGUGUUCUGGUCCUAUAACCGUCCUGACCUGGUUCCUCAAACUCAUUACCCAUAUGAGGCCUCUUCCUUAAACCACACCCUCUCCCCGCCCCCAGUAUUCGUCUCACCCCCACACUACCUGGAGGCCAAAUCAAACAAAAGAGACACUGAACUAUCCAACUCCUUGAGAAAAUAGUCAAACAAUGCUACAUUUAAAGGAAUAGUUCACUUUCUCGUCUUUCGAAACCCGAAUGACUUUCAUUCUUUCGUGAAACACAAAAGGAGUUAUUUAUAGCAGAAUUAUCAAGCUGCUCUAAUCCAUACAAUGAUAGUGAAUGGUGACCAUGGCUGUCGAGCAAGUUUUCAGCAUAUAACUUGCAAUAUUUUGGUCUAUUUCUCACUGGAUUCAGAACACUUGGAAUAUAGUGCAUGAGUUGUUUGGUUUUCAAUUAUCAUACUUUUAUGGUGCUUUUUGGAGCUUGACAGCCCCUGGUCACCAUCCACUUUCACUGUAUGGAAAUGAGCUGAUUGUGGAAGAGCAUUCUGCUAAACACCUGUAUUUGUGUUAUGCAGAAGAAAGUUGUGCAGGUUUGGACAUGAGAGUGACGAGGUAACUCUUAUGUUUGGGUGAGCUGUCCCUUUAAUUAUUUAUGAUAAAUUUCCUGUAUGAUGCUACAGUUGGCGUGAGAAACUGACCAGGUGCUGUCAUGCUACACUUGUCCUGUUGUUUGAUUCUUUGUGUCUGGUUUUCACUGAUAUCCCCACCGUAGACACACACCUGUUUUAAGUGGAAUUCCUGUAAAAAGACCUCAUAAAUAUUUCACCUGCUUGCUAAGGAAGGAUAUAAUGGUGUUAGUUUUAUGACACAGAAGGGAACAUUUGGUAUUCCUGAGCUUAAACAAUGAUUGUUGAGUUACAUAACAUUGUCAGCUGUUAUCUUUGACUUAAUCAGUAUGAUAUAUUAAUUAGUGGUGCUGAAUGAUACCUCAAAUGAUAUGGCUUGUUGAGGAGAGGUAUGCUGUUACUAAGCAAUAGCAGAUGAUAAAAUGGGUGGAAAAAAAGUGUGAGCCUUAUCGAAACCCUUACAAAUAUCGAGAGUUCAUGGCAAAUUUGCCAUUGAUUAUUUUCACAUGCAAAUGAGCUUUGUGGCAAAUUGGUUUUUGUUGCCAAAGAUUUGCUGUAGGCUCACCACUACCGGUGAAGAGCUGCAAACUUCUGCUAAACAUUUGAGGCGAAUCACAAGCUCAUUUGCAUGUGAAAAUAACGAGUGGCAGAUUGCGGCAAAUUUGCCAUGAACUGUCGGUUUUUGUAAGGGAAGGAGUUUUGCACACUCAUAUGUUCUUCAGAAAAUCUAAGGCCACAUCUUCACUAAUCCAUUGUCAUUUGAAAACUCUGUGUUCAGUUUCCUAACGUCAUCGUUUUCCAAAGUGUGCGAUAAUGGAGAGCUUUUGGUGGAGGAAAUGCGUUCUAGUGUCGAUUAGAUGAACAAACAUAGCAAAAUGUAUGCGUUUUCAAAACAUAUUAUUGUGGACGUGGCCUAAAAAUCUAUUUUACAACAACAGAGUACUAAUAAACUUUCUCAAGAAUAUUUACAGCUUGAAUUAAGGCUGGGUAUCCUGAUUUGAUUCGGUUUGAUUACGAUUUAGAUACUAUUUGAUUAAAUCCUGAUUCAUUUGGGUAGCCUAUAUUUCAGUUAUAAUGUCCAUUUUGCUUACAUUACAUAUGAAAGAAAUUCUCUCUCAGCUAAUGCUGUAAAUUACACAGGGAACCUUGUAAACUGGUACAUUACGAACAUAUUAAUUAAAAAAAUGAACAACAGGGCCCAAACGGAGCAGCUCAGUUGCUGUUUAACAGACAUAAUAAUUAACAAAACUGACGUAAACUUUAAAAGAUCGAUCUUAGGAUUUUAUAAAUCGAUAUCGGGAUCAUUUAACUGCCCAACCCUAGUUGGAACGACUUACUAUGUUGUGUGAAUCUAGUUAACCAAUUGACAAGUGUACUGAUGAGUUAAAAAACACUCUGGCAUGUGAUGAAUUCUAGAAAAUGUUUGAUUAUGUAAAGGACAAGCCUGUGUUAAUGAAUACUCUCAGUGUCUGAAAUGUGUCAUAGCCACAAGAAAUAUUACAGCUGACAUGCUCUUUCUCAGUCUCUUUUUCAUAAACAAAUAGACAAGCCCACACAUAUUUCCUCAGAUCACUGCAAACACACUAUGCUAAUUCAUAUUUUGAGACCAUCAAUUUUUGCAGUUACAUUUUGAGAACUCUUAACUUGGCUUUGCGCUUUUUAAUUCAAUGGUGUGGUUUUCUUUGUGGAUCAGAAGUGGCAUUGUUUCCUGCUCAACUUUCACAUUGGAUGACAGCGCCAUCUGUCUGUCAUCCGAGCAAAGCACCAUGGACAUAGAUCGAGAUGAUGAUUCAGUGCUGGACGUCUACUUUUGAGGAGCCAAAUGAGAUGAUCCUUCAUCAUCUUUCAGUCCUCCUCAUCACCUGCUUCUAUGGUCCUUUGGAUUCUCAUGUGCAGAGAGCGCCCCCUGCUGCCAAACCACACAUCAUUGUGCAGACAUUCGCCAGUAUAACAGCUACAACUACCAACAUACAUAUUUAUACAUCAAAUCACAAUGCAAAACUGUUAGCAGGAGUUGUAGCUUUAAGUGGCCUAAGAGGUCACACGAUCUUACAUUCAUGGACGCCAUCAACCAAAUAAGCAGAGCUGGCUGUGUUUUUGUGCUGCUUCACUGCAAAAGAACUUUACAGACCUUAGAUAAAAUGGCAGCUCUGGGGUCCGACUGAAAAUAGACUUGACUUCAUGUGAUGUCAUCAUUCUUUGUUUAGGAGACAUGCAAUAAAUUUGCUUAUCUGUUAUGCAGAAACAGUUUGCAUAAAUGGCUAGCAACUACACAGUACCUCCUAAAGGGAUAGAUCACACAAUGCAAAUUAAUUUACUCAUGUUGUUCCAAACCUUUAUGACUUUGUUUAUUUCAUGGAACACAACGAGAUGUUAGAAUGUUAGUCUUAUUUACCAUCUACUUUCAUUAUAUGGAUAAAAGAUACAACGAAAAGUCCUUUUUGCGUGAACUAUCCCUUUAAAGGAUUUAGUGUUUAGUGGCAUAGAUGCUUUGUGACUUAAACUCUAUGUAGGUAACACAGCAGUUCAAAUAUUUUUAAAAUGUGCAAUUUUCAUACAGUAUAUAAGUGUGUUAUUGUAAUUCUCCUCACUGGAGUAAUAAUCUUGACAUUUUAAUUCCAAGGAAACACACAGUUUCUAGGAAACAGUCAAUGUGUGACUUCAUUUCUCAAAACUAUGAGCACAGACAUGCCAUGUACUGUAAAUAUACGUAUGUGUAACUUUCACUGUACAAUUUUUAGUCAUGCUCAGAUUUAUGCUGGUACAUCAGCUCCUGAUAAUCAAGAGUGAAAUUUGUAUCAGCAGUAAACAUUUAUACACUGCAAAAAAAAAUUAAAGAAAUUAUAAUAAAUUUAAAAAAAAUAAAAAAAUAAAGAAAUUAUAUAUAUAUAUAUAUAUAUAU